UUACGACGAUAUCAUGUUGAAACACCUGUUUCCAUACGAUCACCAAAGUUAAGAAACACCGAGCCUGGUCAGUACCUAGAUGAGUGACCACUUGGGAAUACCAGGUGCUGUAAG